AACGAACGCUGGCGGCAUGCCUAACACAUGCAAGUCGAACGAGACCUUCGGGUCUAGUGGCGCACGGGUGCGUAACGCGUGGGAAUCUGCCCUUGGGUUCGGAAUAACAGUUGGAAACGACUGCUAAUACCGGAUGAUGACGUAAGUCCAAAGAUUUAUCGCCCAAGGAUGAGCCCGCGUAGGAUUAGCUAGUUGGUGAGGUAAAGGCUCACCAAGGCGACGAUUCUUAGCUGGUCUGAGAGGAUGAUCAGCCACACUGGGACUGAGACACGGCCCAGACUCCUACGGGAGGCAGCAGUGGGGAAUAUUGGACAAUGGGCGAAAGCCUGAUCCAGCAAUGCCGCGUGAGUGAUGAAGGCCUUAGGGUUGUAAAGCUCUUUUACCCGGGAUGAUAAUGACAGUACCGGGAGAAUAAGCUCCGGCUAACUCCGUG
rnacentral:rRNA from 1 species